CGCCAGAUUUUCAGGUUUUCAAAUUUGAU
rnacentral:piRNA from 1 species